rnacentral:lncRNA from 1 species
UUUUUUUUUGUCAAAACGCUAAGGAAGACCGGGGAAAAACCAAAACGUCGGAAAAAACCGGGAAUAAAACCGUUUAGAAAGCCGAAAAUGCGUGCGGAAAAAUAAAAUAAAAUAAAAUCUGAAGGGAGCGUCCAGAGCGCGACACGUGGCGAAUGGCUGAGAGCGCGCCAAGUGGCGCUGAUCGUUGCGAGGCUCCCGAAGGAGCGCUCGUUAACUAGUUGCUCCCCACAUCAUCGAGGCGGUCGCACAUGGGUUGCUCACCUUCUAGGCCGAAGUCCGGUUGAUGGAGAAGCGACUGGGCUUGGAGGUUAGGGCGCUGGGCUCGGACCACGGGGGACGGACAUGCUGGACAAAAAUAUGAGCAUUAUUUGUCAUAUGCAAAUUUUAUCAUGUUGUGAAUUGAAUAGGUGCAACAACUUGUGUGACUUCUGUAAUGGAAAUAUGAGCUUCCUACUAAAGAAAUGCAAAUAUGAGUGAUACGUAAAGAAGAGUAGAACAAUAAAUCAUUGCCUAAUAUAUAGAAAGAGUUUCCAGUUUGAAGUCAAUCUGGUUCCUUUUAUCCAAUUUAGCAAUACUAUGUUUGUAAAGUGGUCAAUAUUCCCAACUUUUCCUAAAGUAGAAUUAUGUCGUGCUCAGCAAAAUCAAUAUUCAGUCAAAUGCAUUGCAUCAAGAUUAGUACAGAAUAGGAAAAAACAGUCCAUGGCUUGUUAAAGAACCCAAACCAGGUCAGAGGGGUGCAUACCGUGAGUGACUAUGUCCUCUGGUAGGGUGAUAUUGAACUAACACCGGCGUUUGGCCGAGGCCACAUAGACUUGGUGUUUCCUUGCAUCGUGGGUUCCUCGAAUCAGUGCUGAUGCAAAAUGACACGGCGACGACAGAUGGAGUUACUGCAAACUAAGACACAUAUGGAUGAAAAUUAAUUAGUAUCGUUUACCUCGUUCUCCAUAUGAGAAAACAGGCUUGGUCAACAGCGAGCGAGCAAAGGUUAGCGUCGUGCGGCCGGCGACGAAGGAGGCGAAGGAGGUCGGCGGCGAUGCAGCGUGUUUCCCGAGCCUACAUGCUGCGGGGAUAGCCGGCGUGGCGAGAGUCAUCAAGCUCAUGGAUUUUGGCAAAAUAGCGAAUGAGGCUAGGUGCAAUCCGAAUGAGGAAGAAUGGGGGUUCUAUACGAGUGAGGAAGAAGGGGAGUGGUGUUGCCACAAGUGUCGACCCUCUAUUCCUAAUCACACACAUGUCCCCGUAAGUUGUGCGUGGAAUGAUUAAUCAUCAUAGACAAUUGUCUUUAGUGAAACUGUUGGUCCUAUCUUGUACACAGUUCAUUUCACGAAACCGUGGAUGAUAACUAAUCAAUUCACAAACGAUUCUUCCUUUCGACCCAUCUGUACUGUAUCGCAUAAGGUUUCUUCUUCUCGGUCGUGCGCGAUGCCUUCUAAUCACACACGUUUAUUAUCUAGACAAACAGUUUUAUAUUUGUACCGUCUACAAUGUGAACAUCGCAAACGGUCCUUCCUCAUGAUAACCCCCUUGUGUCUAGUGAACCAUGUGCUGCACCCGCACCAAUAUUGCACCAUGUUUCUCCUGCCAAAUGUGACACAGUAGUUGCCACGCUAGAAACUAGGGUGACAUCCCACGUCACCAUGGGCCUGAUUAGACGGACAUCUCUGUCGUUGUCGACCAGCCACCAUAGCACGCGGCUGGGAACACACUGCCACCCACCUCGAAGGGCAUCGAUAACACCCUUUCAUCCAAGGGGAGAUGUCCGCGAGCCAUCGGAUCUGUGAGAGACGAGCUGCAGAGGGCCUGAGUUGAACUGACUGGCGCGUGCACCACGGCCAUCCAUCGACAUGGAGCACCAAUCGCCUGCAGAAGAAGGAAGGGGAAGCCGAGGAGCCCCGCCGCCGCACGUGUUUUGCCCCACGACGGCGGGCGAGGGGGGAGGGGCUGUCGCAGAGGAUGAUUUGGUCGCUGCUCAAGUCGCCAUGCUGGAGAGCACGUGGGGGCGACCAAAAAAGAAAAGAGAUAGCUGCGGACGAAAUUAAUCUGUUUUCACAGGGGAUAUUGAUGAAAAUGGUUAUUCAUUUCCUUUUCUUCUAGUAACCACGUUCACGGAUCUGCAGUUGAUGUAUCUUCCCCCACCACCGAAAAUGCACGUUGACGAGUGGCGCAAGUAAGAGCGCACGUGAAGUUGCCCCAUUUUUCUUCGGCGAUGCGUGGGUGCAUUUUCCUUGAUCAUUGUCUUCCUACUACUCGAGUCUAGAACUUGGUUGUUCACACAUUCCAUCCACCGGCUAAAGCAAGACACCUGCAUAAAAAGAACUGUCCAGAAACUGGCCGCAGUUUUGCGUCGCGGCAGAACGAAUCACCGAAAGCACACGGAAUUUGACCGACGACAGUAACUAUAACUAAUUAACGGCAUCCGGAAGGAAUUCCGCCCGCACGCAGGACCGGCAUGCUCACGCGCGCGCCGUAGCUUGCCGCGGCGAGCGGCCCGUUCCCCGGCCGCACGGCUUCGCGUAGCACAUUAGCACCUGUGCACCCGUCGCGGCACACGAUCGGGACCGAGAUCGAGUACGUGGUGGGAGAUGGAUCGCUCGCCGGGUCGCCGAAAGCUCAGUCUGAGACGGAGCCGGCAAGGCGGCAACGGUGGGUGCGCGCCGGCGGGCCCCGGAAAUCUGGUGCAAGAGCUGGGCUAGUGACUUCCGGCCUGCGUGCCGCGAGCGACUCGAUCGUACGUGGUCGCUCCUUCCACCGGCAGUUGCCUUCGGCGGGCGGCCGUGGCCCGCACCUCACAUGCAGAGGCGGGUAGGCGACGCAGCCGUCGACAUCCCACUCCGCGCCCCGCACAUGCGCCUGAGCAGUCCGUUACUUUGUCCCUUUCCGCUGUUAACUGUUCGGAGAAACGACCGGUGCGGGUCAGGUGGAAGGUCUCGUCCUCCUUUUCCAUGUUCUUCAGUUUGUCUGGAGAAAGAGAAAGGGCAUCGACGAUAAAGUUUUUCAGUUUUUACCUGGCUAUCUUGUGCACCAUUCAGUACAUUAUUCAUGACAUUCAUAGUAGUACAACUUACUUAGAAGUUCUUUUAUUUUAUCACAACAAGCCUUCUAGUGGAUUUCCAUUAAAGAAACCGUAUAAAUAACAUACUUGGGAGUAGUUUUUUUUAACAGUACAGGCGCAGACGCUCACACAUACAUUCAUCCUAUGUGCACCUUCAAGAGAAUGGGUUAGCACAUCAUCUUGAGAUUGACGAAUUCGCCGCAGACGUCUACAUCCUACUGAACGCAUGUCGCCAAAAGACCUGAAAUAAAUCUAAAAAAAUGCGUGCAUCAGUGUCUAGUCUAGGACUUGAACCCUGCUGGUUAGAGAUAACACUGUCCUCUUAGCCAUCCAACUGUAGGUUGGUUCACAUUUAGGAGUAGUUUAAUUUGAGAACAUUGACCAAAGACUAAACGGAGCAGAGUCCUGUUAUUUCACUAAAAGAACAUGACCAAAGACUAGCUCGGCGAUUGGGAGAGUUUAGCGCCAGUAUUUACGGCGACGAUCCAGCGGUCUCUACUAGCAUGCAUGCUAGUCGUUAAACAACUUUCUUAGCUAGAGUGAACUUUUAGGCGGCGAUGUUGCCGGCAGUCGCUCGUGUAAAAGUUAAUCCGAAUCAUUCACUAUCAUUAGGUAGCUAAGACUGACGGUUAUAGAACGAACGAAUUGGUUAGUGGUUACCAUACGGAAAGAAAAGGAGCUUUUGAAAGUGAAAGACAUGUGCCGGGAGAUUGGCACCCUUUGCGUUGGAUAGACGCACUAGCUAGUCGGUGGUAACUGAUAUGACGCAGACAUACUCGACUGCGUGCUUUGCUUGGUCGUUGCAAAAAUUAUGACGUACCGACCUUUCCAGGAUCGUCGAAUCUACCGGAACGGAGUAGAAUUUCCACUUGCCGUGGCCGUACGUUCGUUAGAAAGUCAGGAUCGAAUUCCUGGCGUGCAAUUAAUCCUUGGCGCGCACAAUCAAGUUUGACAAGUACUAGGGCAAUACGAACUGUUGAGUACUGGCAGUACUGAUGAGAGACUGAAGGAGGGACAAGAGUUAAGCAGGAGUACACACAAACAGUAAUAACUUAUGGUCUGCUUACACACUGGUACAGUGACAGUGGGCGCGGGAGUGCACAUGCAAAAGUGCCCCUCCUCCAUAUCCCACCGACGUAUUCAAGACACACAUGCACGACGACGCCUACAUGACACCCGACGACCCAACCUUAAUUAAUCAAAAACCUCCUCGGUAGUACCCAUGCAAAACGAUCCAUGAUAGUACAGAUACCAAAUCAAGCCAAUGCAUGCAUGAUUCCAAAUGAUGAGUUCGGUUCAGUUCAGCAGCUUCAGCUGUACUGGACGAUGGAGCGGUAGAAGGUGCUGGGCGCCCAGUUGGCCGGGAUGACCUUGUCGGCCACCAGCGUCUUGCCGGACUCGUUGGUGAUGCGCAUGGAGAAGGGCGCCUGGAGGCGGUGGCCGGAGUCGAGCCGCCAGAUGGAGCCCCAUGACUCGCGCAUCGGCGUCCACGUCCCGGAGUUGGCCUCCAUGAGGUCCACCUGCACCACGUCGCCGUCGCCGUCCUCGUACUCCACCAGCACCGCGAAGUACACCGGGUUCGACCCCUGCUCCACGUGGAAGGUCACCUUGAGACCGGGGAACUCGCACGGCACCCUGCACCAAUCAUCAGCAGCAGCAAUCAGCAACCCAUGUGCCAUUGUAACUUGGUCUGUGACCGAGCCGGGACGACGGCAAAUAAGUGUGAAGCGACGGUGCUCAAAAUAGAGUAUUAUUCGCAGCGAAUCUAUUUGGGUCCCAGUUAAACCGGUCGCGGUCGUGAAAGUUUUGUUGGGCAAAAGCAC